UACGGGGGGGCAAGCGUUGUUCGGAAUUACUGGGCGUAAAGGGCUCGUAGGUGGCCAAUUAAGUCAGACGUGAAAUCCCCAGGCUUAACCUGGGAACUGCGUCUGAUACUGGUUGGCUUGAAUUCGGGAGAGGGAUGCAGAAUUCCAGGUGUAGCGGUGAAAUGCGUAGAUAUCUGGAGGAAUACCGGUGGCGAAGGCGGCAUCCUGGACCGAGAUUGACACUGAGGAGCGAAAGCGUGGGGAGCAAACAGG
rnacentral:rRNA from 1 species